UUCUCUUUAAACCCCCCUUUCCCUCGACUUGCCCUUGGACCGUGGCCCUCGCCUACGGGCGGAGAUGGAAAACAAAGAGGAUAAAAGGUAAAAUGGAUUGACUGCCGCCACGAUCGUUCCCCCCCGCUCUCCAGCCGCUACCCCUCCCCAUCAUUCGAAGUACACCUGAACGGCUUUCCCAAGGAGAUAAAGAUAAAGAUGACCUGGGACAUAUAUGGACUGCCCCUUUCAUCCAAGCAGCUACCCCUCUCCACCAUUCUUUGAUGUACAGAUGAAUUGUUCUUUCUCCUUUUUUUUUUUUUGUAAAUAAACUCCCCGGCUUUUUAUGGUGUUAUUAUUUUAAGUGUUUGUGCUAGUUUUGUCCGCGUUUCAAGUCCCAGUGUCAGUGUUUACGUGUGUGAUAGGGUUA